AGAGGGGAGCAAGCGUUGUUCGGAAUUACUGGGCGUAAAGGGCGCGCAGGCGGCUGGGGUCAGUUCCGUGUGAAAUCCCUCGGCUCAACUGAGGAACUGCACGGGAUACUGCCCGGCUUGAGUUCGGGAGAGGGAAGCGGAAUUCCGGGUGUAGCGGUGAAAUGCGCAGAUAUCCGGAGGAACACCAGUGGCGAAGGCGGUUUCCUGGACCGAAACUGACGCUGAGGCGCGAAAGCUAGGGGAGCAAACGGGAUUAGAUACCCCGGUAGUCCUAGCCGUAAACGAUGAGUGCUGGGUGUAGGGGGUAUUGACCCCCCCUGUGCCGAAGCUAACGCAUUAAGCACUCCGCCUGGGGAGUACGGUCGCAAAGGCUG
rnacentral:rRNA from 1 species